UACGAAGGGGGCUAGCGUUGUUCGGAUUUACUGGGCGUAAAGCGCACGUAGGCGGAUCGAUCAGUCAGGGGUGAAAUCCCAGAGCUCAACUCUGGAACUGCCUUUGAUACUGUCGAUCUGGAGUAUGGAAGAGGUGAGUGGAAUUCCGAGUGUAGAGGUGAAAUUCGUAGAUAUUCGGAGGAACACCAGUUGCGAAGGCGGCUCGCUGGUCCAUUACUGACGCUGAGGUGCGAAAGCGUGGGGAGCAAACAGG
rnacentral:rRNA from 1 species